GACGAACGCUGGCGGCGUGCUUAACACAUGCAAGUCGAACGGAAAGGCCCUGCUUUUGUGGGGUGCUCGAGUGGCGAACGGGUGAGUAACACGUGAGUAACCUGCCCUUGACUUUGGGACAACUUCAGGAAACUGGGGCUAAUACCGGAUAGGAGCUCCUGCUGCAUGGUGGGGGUUGGAAAGUUUCGGCGGUUGGGGAUGGACUCGCGGCUUAUCAGCUUGUUGGUGGGGUAGUGGCUUACCAAGGCUUUGACGGGUAGCCGGCCUGAGAGGGUGACCGGCCACAUUGGGACUGAGAUACGGCCCAGACUCCUACGGGAGGCAGCAGUGGGGAAUAUUGCACAAUGGGCGGAAGCCUGAUGCAGCAACGCCGCGUGCGGGAUGACGGCCUUCGGGUUGUAAACCGCUUUCGCCUGUGACGAAGCGUGAGUGACGGUAAUGGGUAAAGAAGCACCGGCUAACUACGUGCCAGCAGCCGCGGUGAUACGUAGGGUGCGAGCGUUGUCCGGAUUUAUUGGGCGUAAAGGGCUCGUAGGUGGUUGAUCGCGUCGGAAGUGUAAUCUUGGGGCUUAACCCUGAGCGUGCUUUCGAUACGGGUUGACUUGAGGAAGGUAGGGGAGAAUGGAAUUCCUGGUGGAGCGGUGGAAUGCGCAGAUAUCAGGAGGAACACCAGUGGCGAAGGCGGUUCUCUGGGCCUUUCCUGACGCUGAGGAGCGAAAGCGUGGGGAGCGAACAGGCUUAGAUACCCUGGUAGUCCACGCUGUAAACGGUGGGUACUAGGUGUGGGGUCCAUUCCACGGGUUCCGUGCCGUAGCUAACGCUUUAAGUACCCCGCCUGGGGAGUACGGCCGCAAGGCUAAAACUCAAAGGAAUUGACGGGGCCCCGCACAAGCGGCGGAGCAUGCGGAUUAAUUCGAUGCAACGCGUAGAACCUUACCUGGGUUUGACAUGGAUCGGGAGCGCUCAGAGAUGGGUGUGCCUCUUUUGGGGUCGGUUCACAGGUGGUGCAUGGCUGUCGUCAGCUCGUGUCGUGAGAUGUUGGGUUAAGUCCCGCAACGAGCGCAACCCUUGUUCACUGUUGCCAGCACGUUAUGGUGGGGACUCAGUGGAGACCGCCGGGGUCAACUCGGAGGAAGGUGGGGAUGACGUCAAGUCAUCAUGCCCCUUAUGUCCAGGGCUUCACGCAUGCUACAAUGGCUGGUACAGAGAGUGGCGAGCCUGUGAGGGUGAGCGAAUCUCGGAAAGCCGGUCUCAGUUCGGAUUGGGGUCUGCAACUCGACCUCAUGAAGUCGGAGUCGCUAGUAAUCGCAGAUCAGCAACGCUGCGGUGAAUACGUUCCCGGG
rnacentral:rRNA from 1 species